UUAUCAUAUUUUGCAUCGAGACUAAAAAUUUGAAUGGUUUGUAUUUUCAGGAUCACUUUCUUAACGUUUACAGGAUGCAGGGUUUCGAUGACAUGCAUGUGGCCUAUAGAGAUAAUGCUCAGAAAGAGCGCUACAUUGCUUUGUAUCAGCGCCCUAUGGCACCCACACGUUACCCUGAUCAGCACUGUAUGGAGGCACUGGGUAUCGAGCCGAGUAUC
rnacentral:lncRNA from 1 species